UCGGUCAAUCGUAAUUUGGCUUCUAAAAGUAAAAAGUAAAUUUUAUAAUUCUUCGGAAACUUGUAAAAUUUAUUCAUUUUUACUUACUGUUUAUUUCGGAAAAUUCUACAGAUUCCGAUUCGGACUCUGACUAACACUGAAACUAAGGUGUGGUAACACUUUCAACGGUUGAGUGCUUGGUCCCAUGAAGCCGUUUUAGUGUCCCAAUGCCCCGUCGUCGCAAUGUUGGCGAUCUCUGGGGGGGAGAUGCCUGUUCCUCUUCUAAUGGCAUUCAAUGGCAGGGUGUUGUUCGAAAGCCUCGUUUUCCAGCACCUCAACAUAUCUACAAAUCGUACGAUCUCCCAGAGUUCGCCGAAAUAUUUACAACAGUCCGGAUAAUUUGGAAUUUGAAAACUAAAUUUAGAGUACACAAAAUUGUAUAAUGCAUAAGAAAAAUGUUACUUGGACCAAUAUAUAUUUUUGUACCAACUAAAAA